rnacentral:rRNA from 1 species
UACGGGGGGGGCAAGCGUUGUUCGGAAUUACUGGGCGUAAAGGGCUCGUAGGUGGCCAACUAAGUCAUACGUGAAAUCCCUCAGCUUAACUGGGGAACUGCGUCUGAUACUGGAUGGCUUGAGUUUGGGAGAGGGAUGCGGAAUUCCAGGUGUAGCGGUGAAAUGCGUAGAUAUCUGGAGGAACACCGGUGGCGAAGGCGGCAUCCUGGACCAAUACUGACACUGAGGAGCGAAAGUCAGGGGAGCAAACGGG